CCAACGAGGAUAUCCUGAGGUCACUCCUCCGGCUCUGUCCAGGUGGCAAAAGGGAGCUUAGGGCUUUUGCCCUGUGAUGUACAGUCCCAUUCCACAACGUUGGAUAUCAAGCUGGGCUUUGUGUCUGCACCUGCAUAUUCCUAAACCUUCUCAGAGUCUUUGGACUAUGACUGAGGAGACAAACCAUGCAGGAAACAAUU
ensembl:snoRNA SNORA73 Small nucleolar RNA SNORA73 family